UACGUAGGGUGCGAGCGUUGUCCGGAAUUAUUGGGCGUAAAGGGCUCGUAGGCGGUCUGUCGCGUCAGGAGUGAAAACUCGGGGCUUAACCCCGAGCCUGCUUCUGAUACGGGCAGACUAGAGGUAUGCAGGGGAGAACGGAAUUCCUGGUGUAGCGGUGAAAUGCGCAGAUAUCAGGAGGAACACCGGUGGCGAAGGCGGCACUCUGGGCCGGUACUGACGCUGAGGAGCGAAAGCGUGGGGAGCAAACAGG
rnacentral:rRNA from 1 species